AUUGAACGCUGGCGGCAGGCCUAACACAUGCAAGUCGAACGAGCGGCGGACGGGUGAGUAAUGUAUGGGAAACUGCCUGAUGGAGGGGGAUAACUACUGGAAACGGUAGCUAAUACCGCAUACUAUCGGAUGUGCCCAGAUGGGAUUAGCUAGUAGGUGGGGUAAAGGCUCACCUAGGCGACGAUCUCUAGCUGGUCUGAGAGGAUGACCAGCCACACUGGAACGGAGGCACGGUCCAGACUCCAACGGGAGGCAGCAGUGGGGAAUAUUGCACAAUGGGCGCAAGCCUGAUGCAGCCAUGCCGCGUGUAUGAAGAAGGCCUUCGGGUUGUAAAGUACUUUCAGCGGGGAGGCGUUACCCGCAGAAGAAGCACCGGCUAACUCCGUGCCAGCAGCCGCGGUAAUUC
rnacentral:rRNA from 1 species